UUAUAGGAGUGAAUUUGCACACAAAAUAUUUUAGGCACUUUUUAACGUUCUCACUGGUGGGAAUUUUAACUUUUAGGAUUUGUUGGAACCUUUUUAUUAUCCCCACAAUUUCAAUGCUUCUUUUAGUCAGAAAUGAUUCAGGGUUAUUUGAGGAAAAAAAAAAAAAAAAAAACAACCCAUCGUGCCUUGAUUUUGAUUCAGGUGAUAACUCACCAUCUUGAGCUCAUCGUCUGGUUUCAGUAGCAGUUUUGAAAUCUUGGUACAUUUUUAAUAGCAUGUGGGUGUCAGUGCCAUUAAGUUUCUAAUGAAGACUGCUUUGAGUCUCUUGGUUUAGAGGUACAAAUAAUUUCAAAAUAAAAGAUGACAUCCUAAUGAUACAUCAGAGUUACUAAUGUGAUCACAAAGUUGUUUUGCUAAAUCAUCAUUUUCCUUAAAGCUAUGUAGUCAUUUAGUAAUUACCAGUAAAUAUUUGCUCAAUGUGAUCUUAAAAUCCUGUGAAGAAAAAAGAAGGGGUAGGAAUUGGCUUUGCCUUCACUACAGCAGUAGAAUAUUGUAGCUCACAUGCUUCAUAAACAUGAACUAAGAUUUCAUUUGUUAAUACAUUCUAAAGGUAGUAAGUUCCAACCAGAAUUACGUACAUUAAAAAAAAAAGCAUUUUAUAGAUUUUAUGGUACUAGUAAUUAAAUUUAUAACUACAGAACAAAGGAAAAUUAAUGGGAAAAAAUCUUAUUAGAAUAUCAAAAAUUAUUACUGAGGAAAGGGAAGACAGCAAGCUAUAAUAAAUCAAAAUUGACCUUAAAAGAAAAUGUGUAACAGAAUUGAGGUUGUUAAAUAGAAAAGAUUUCAGCAAUGAAAAUAAUCUAGUACAGAAUUGCUAGAUAAAGGAGUCAGGGGAACUCUCAGUCAGUUCUUAAGACUUUUCUGUUCUCAGCUUUGCUAUCAUCCUUAAGGGGUAUACUUUGUCUUUCUGUAGAAAACCAUGCCUGGCCACACAUAAACUAGAAAAUUAAUGUUGAAAACAACCAAAGAGACUUGGUACCUACCCUUCUACAAAAGAAGUGUUACUAGAUGCCAAUCAGUAAUUAACAUAUCAAGGAGCUCCUCUUCUAGCUAAAUGAUCAUGACUUUCUCAUGAAUGUCAAGAAUAAAUGUCGGAAUAUCUGUGUACUUGAGCAUAUGUACACGUGGACAACAUUGAUGUUGUAGAGUAUGGCAACAGUAUUUUUUUCCCCUUUCAGAUUGCCUUUCUUAACCUUAUCAUGCCAUUCCAUAUAUAUCUGAGUUGUGCCUCAUUUAUUUAUUGGCAAUAUGUAGUGAUACAGAUUUAGCAAACAAAAGAUAUGAUGAACUAUUAUAUUAAGGUUUAUUUUCUAAGUCCCAUAUGUAAAAAGAAAGAUGGUGAACCGUGAGUACUGUGUACUUAGGUUAACACAAGCAAAGUAUAAGACAAGCCACAACGUAAAUCUGUAGACUGUUUAUGCACAUUCUCCUCCACCAGUCCCUUCAAGCAUUUUUUCAUCCUCACAAAUAUUUGGGAAAGAAAAUUAGACAAGAUUUUGCUUUAUAAUUCCUGCUGUUCCUCACAGCUCAUUUUUUUCCUGCUUAGAAUUGGUUGCUACACUUAAAGGAGCAGCUUUUCUUUUGCUGUCAGAAUGAAGUGUUGGAUCAGAAGAGCUAGUAACUGCCUCUCAGCUCCUCCUUUAACUUGGUUUCCUCCUGCUUCCCUGGAACUUGGGCUGCAGAGCAGUCCCUGUCCCCUCCUCCGUGCAUUGAGACUUGAGCAUUCUGAUGAAGAUUCAGCAGUGGCCUGUUCUUCAUUCAUUUCUGUAGCCAAAGUUGUUCAUUAAAAUCCAAAUCUAAGUCAUGAAAAAAUACCAAAUAAGAACACCUUUCAACUACUUAAAAAUCUUAUCUUCCCUCUGCUUUACUCUCAUAGAUCCUCGGUUUUUCUUAAAAAACACUUGAUUCUGGGUGGCAGUCAUUAGGUGUUACCUUCUUUGGACUGCUGUGGCACUGGGUGAGUCACUGUUGUUCUCACAGCUACCAGUGAGGACUGUAAGGGUUCAUGAAGUUGCUGCCACGACUGGCGUCAGACCAGAACCAAGACACUCAAAAGCACUUCAGUUUUUGAGUGAAAAUAUUGGGAGAAAAGCAAAUACGGGGGAAGAUGGGGGCAGCAUGUGAGUAAAUACUACAAUUCAGUCUCCCAACUCCGUCCCAGGUUGAGGGGGUAAUUUGAGUCCUGUGCUCUGCUUUGUCACGUAAAUCUGGUUUAGGAAUGUACUAGUAAUAAAAGGAUGCCAGUGACUUUGAACAGUUUGUUGUAGAAUUCUCAGUGUAGAUUCGUGAAAGUGUUGUAAUUCUUCAGAAGUGCUUGGGUUGUUGGUCAUUGCCUUAAAGCGGUCUGCUUGCAGUUAGUUAAGGGCACUGCUUGUUGAAGGGAGAUGAGCCCUUGUUCAAGAAGCCUUAGGAAGGGGCCCCUUAAAAUAGAACUCUAUUUGCCGGCUCUACACAGACAGGUGAAAAUUAUUUUAAACUGGAAGUUACUCAACGUGUUUUAAGAUGUCUCCACGACAUUGAGGUAGCCUUUUUUUUUUUUUUAAAGUGGACUGCAAAUAGCAUUUUGCUCUGGUAUUGCUCAUUUCUACUUUUUUUCUUUUCCUAUAUUUCUCUGGUAAUUGAAAGUUUGUUGACGAACAUUUGUGUAAAACUCAUUCAAGUCUAUAACCUUUCCAAUGUCUGUGACCCUGUUCUUAGUCCCUCGGGAGUCAGUGUUGGAAGGUAUAAACACUGGAUAUUAUUAUUGCUGAGUGAGUCUAGCCAGGAAUAAGCUGAUUGGAAUUUUUAAACAGAGGAAAAGAAACAGCACAAAGGCACUUGCCAUUUUAUAGUGAUUGGAGGAAAAGAGUCUUUUGUUUGGGGUGGGUGAGCGUUCUUCCAAAAGGAGCUUCUGAAGUAAUUGCAAAGGAAAAGAGUUGACUAUUUUUAUAGCAUAUUUAAUAUAUUUGUAUAUAACUAUGAAUAUAAUAGGAACCCUUCACAUGCCUCCCCCCUUUUCUAAUUUACUUCCCCUUUUGCCAUAGCUCUAGCUUAGCCUCAUCCGCAUGGGUAACGUGCCUAUUGUCAGCCUACCAAGAGAUAGUGCUGCUGCUUUCUGAGACAGGUGAGAAGACCCAACUCUCAUGCCUGGGGAUCCUUUAUAUAGGAAUAGCACACACUUCGCAGACAACACACCACAGUCUAAAAGCAUCAUUUUGAAAGGUAACAAGCACUUUAUUGCAAUUACUCAUUUUGAUAAAGUUUAUUAUCUUAGAUACUACCAUUUCUAAAGGAUCCCCGAAUCAUCACUUAGGUGAAAUUUUUAAAUGACACAUUUCUGAGAAAUGUUUAGAUCCAGUGAACCAUAGUAGGUUUAUGGGAGUGAUUUCAUGGUAGCCAAAUGAACUUUGACUUUUGUUUUGAAUGUGGUGGAGUCAAGAGACUGUGGAUGCCUAGCUCCAUUUAGACACUAUUGUAAACCUAUCUUGCCUAAUGUGUGGACACCAAAAGAGACCAAUGAGCCUGUUUAUUUUCAGAGGUCUAGGAGAAUUGCAUCAGUGUGAAUAGAUGUAUAGAACUAACCUAAAAGUGAUUGGUAGUCAUAUUUUAGAAUACAGUAAUUUCAAGAAUUAUUCUGGGUGUUUUAAAUGUGCUCUGAAAUGUUGGCAUGUCAUUUCAGUGUUUCCAUUUGAAUUGCUCUUGUAAUAUUUUUGCACAGAAAGGACUGAGAAAGACUACUUUGGUUGAAGAAAAGGAAAAAUAAUAAUAAUUUGGUCAUAUUUUAAUGUCUCCUGUGGAAACACUGGGGAUGAAUUUUGUUGGUACAGUUAUUAAUUCAGGAUGUUUGAAACAGUAUUGAACAGCUCACAAGAAACUAAGCAAACGUGGAUAUUAAAAAUUAAAACUUUCUUUCCAUGUGACUGUUUUGCAUACUUUUUCCCCAUGUCAUAAUUUAACACUACAUUCCUUGUUUUUGUUAAAUAAAAUAAUACUUUGCAGGUUCUGUUUUUGAGUAUUUAACAAUAUUUUGUAAGCUGCCUGAGUUUUCCUAGGGAAACGUUCUUUAGUGAAAUAGUUUAUGAAGAGGUAUUAAGUGAAAGUCCAUCACCACCACCAGCAAAUACUGAGGUGCUGCAUUAAGUGACAAUCAAAAUAGUAUUUAUGGGAGAAUUUAGAAAGUGGUUUUUAAAGAAGCAAUUGCUUUGAAAGCAGUUCUCUGGGUUUCUUGAAUAAAAAUGGCUAAAUGUAUUUAUUUAUAUUUUUAAAUAUCUUUGUGUUCUGUUUUCUCAUCAGAGUGAUUUCACAGCGUAUUUAAUUGUGGUUUGUUUUGUUUUGCCUUGUAAUCUUCUAUGUGGAGGACUGGCUCUUCCCAUCUGGGGUGCAGUCCUUAGCCCUCGCGACGCCUCUUCAUGGCGAUUGGAACCUGUUCCACUUCAGGACAGCAGUGGAGCCCCAGUCCAGAUGCCCCUGUGCUUCCCUGCUGUUCUCAACUUAGAUAGGAAACAGUAAAGAUUGAUGUAUUAUGUAACCGGACAAUCACCAUCAAGCAAAAAGAAGAGGAAUCCUUUUCCUUUAUAGAUGUCAGCCAGAGCAGCUGUAAUUUAGAUCAUCCUAGAAUUACUCUGAAGUCUGUUUUAUCAUAUGGUGUAAGUCGGGGAGGGUGCUCAGUAUGGCACUUGCACAUUCAUUCUAUGUAAAGACUGAAGCCCAAAGACGAGUUAAAUUCAGUGCUGUAUUGAAACCAGUCAGUGCAAAAAAAAAAAAAAGUUUUAUCUCUGUAAAUUUUUAAUUGUUAAUUUAACAUCAGUUGGUAAUUGUAAAAACACACACCAAAUUCUUUCUAAUGUUCUGUGUGGUUCUUAGUGUACUACUCUUGACAUUGAUGUGUCCUUACUGCUUGGUUCUUGGUUUUAAAUUAAAAUUAGAUAUAGCCUGUCAUUCUUCCUUCUGAAAGGGUGGAGCUAUAAAUGGCUAAGAAUACCUUUUUUUUCCUAAAGCAAACAUUUCAUUGAAAUCCAGAUUGAUUUACAAAAACAAGACUGACAUUUUCCAAGUAAUAACUUCAGCCCAAAUCCUAAAUUACACAGAAGCACAAUGGGAUAAUGAAUGGUUUCAACGGUGCUAUAAUAGGUUCUCUGCUGAUUUUCAUGAGCUAUGUUUGGAAAUUCAAUAUUAUAUAAAAUGCGGAUCAUUUUGUUACUUAUUUAAAUAUUGCCAUUUUAAUUUGGUGUUACAAUUGGUCACACUUGUUUCUCAGAGCUGUCCUUUGAGAACAGGUAAAGUGUUAUUAGCCUACCUCCACUCAGGCCUCUUGCUGUAUAAUCAUUUUUCCAGGUUAUGAUGUGCACAGUUUUUAAAAACUAUAUGUACUAUUAUAAUGCUCUUUCCCAUACUCUUGUAUUCAGAACCUAAAAUUAUAGCAAAAGAGCCAAGCAGUAGCAUUGAGUUUUUUUUUAUAAAUGUAAAAUUAAUUAGAUUCAGACUUUGUUUCCUUAUUCAGUUUUAAAAAUAAAAAUACCUCAGUGCUGUUUUCCAGUAUCACCUGCAUUUCUCAAAGAAAUAACACCUGCUUUAUGUGGCACAUAACUUGUAAGAAUCACAUUAUUUUGGAUUUUAAAGAAUAUUAAAUAUUUUAAAAGCACUACCAA